AAAAAGAUUUCGUUUGGCACAGCAAAAGUGAUAAUAUUUUCCACCAUAAGAAAAUUUUAUUUUACCACAGAACUUUGAUGCCGUUUGGCACACAGUCUGAUUCGAAAAUGUGUUGAAUUCACACAGCACCCGUAAAUGUGGAGGAAGAAUUUCGUGUAUGUGAUAGUCUUACUACUUGUAUACUUUGUACACUUGGGCCCUUUAGACGAAAGGGAUUGUCAAAGACCGAAGUCCCAUGCCAAAGACCUAACAGAGCACUUUUAGCUGAGGGGGCAUGUUGCAGGGUUUUUCUCAAUUCUCUUUUAAAUGCCCUUCGUAAAAUAAUGAACGUUUAGAUGGAGACUCAAAAGGCGUGCGCC